GACGAACGCUGGCGGCGUGCUUAACACAUGCAAGUGGUGCGACGAACCAGGCUUCGGCCUGGGGCAAAGCCGCGAACGGGUGAGUAACACGUGGGUAACCUGCCCCGAAGACCGGGACAACCCGGGGAAACCCGGGCUAAUACCGGAUGUGUUCACUGUCCUCAAGGACGGUGAACAAAGGAAGCUUCGGCCUCCGCUUCGGGAGGGGCCCGCGGCCCAUUAGCUUGUUGGUGAGGUAACGGCUCACCAAGGCGACGAUGGGUAGCUGGUCUGAGAGGACGGUCAGCCACACUGGGACUGAGACACGGCCCAGACUCCUACGGGAGGCAGCAGUGGGGAAUCUUGCGCAAUGGGCGACAGCCUGACGCAGCAACGCCGCGUGGGGGAAGACGGCCUUCGGGUUGUAAACCCCUUUCAGGAGGGACGAAGCUCCGGCAGCGAAUAGCUGUCCGGAGUGACGGUACCUCACGAAGAAGCCCCGGCUAACUACGUGCCAGCCGCCGCAGUAACAC
rnacentral:rRNA from 1 species